rnacentral:rRNA from 1 species
GACGAACGCUGGCGGCGUGCCUAAUACAUGCAAGUAGAACGCUGAAGGAGGAGCUUGCUCUUCUGGAUGAGUUGCGAACGGGUGAGUAACGCGUAGGUAACCUGCCUGGUAGCGGGGGAUUACUAUUGGAAACGAUAGCUAAUACCGCAUAAGAGUAGAUGUUGCAUGACAUUUACUUAAAAGGUGCAAUUGCAUCACUACCAGAUGGACCUGCGUUGUAUUAGCUAGUUGGUGGGGUAACGGCUUACCAAGGCGACGAUACAUAGCCGACCUGAGAGGGUGAUCGGCCACACUGGGACUGAGACACGGCCCAGACUCCUACGGGAGGCAGCAGUAGGGAAUCUUCGGCAAUGGACGGAAGUCUGACCGAGCAACGCCGCGUGAGUGAAGAAGGUUUUCGGAUCGUAAAGCUCUGUUGUAAGAGAAGAACGAGUGUGAGAGUGGAAAGUUCACACUGUGACGGUAUCUUACCAGAAAGGGACGGCUAACUACGUG